rnacentral:lncRNA from 11 species
CCCUUGUAACUUUUAGCAAAGGCAUUGACCUGAGAUGUUUUUGUUAUUUGUCUCUCGGCUUUGUGAGCAUGUUGGGGGGGGGGGGGGGGGGAGAGGGGGGGGAGAAGACAUGUCAGUGUGGGCUGUUAACAUAUGUUGUACAAUAAACUCUUAAAACUCUAAGCUUGUUUCUGACCUAAAAAGCAAAUCCUAUUGCUUUGUAUUGAUAAUGAUACUUACAAUGUCAUUUUGUCCCAUGUUCAAAUCAGAAAGGCAUUUCCAGCUAAUUAGCUACACCUCUGAGAAGUCCUUUUGCUAUCAUGCAUGCUGAAAGGCACCAGGGAAGAUGUCAAGACGCCGAGAUAGUACAUAUUUCAGCCGAGGGAUUUCUCGCAGGAAUUCAAAUGCUAUUAAUAAAAAAAACAAAAGAUGCAAACCAGGAUCGGAAAUGCCAAUAAAAAGAAGGAGAGGGUAUGUACGCAUCUGUUCUACAUACUUCUACUGGAAAGGAAGAAGAUAAUCCCACUUCAGAAAUUCCAUCUUUGAUCACAGUGAAUGAGCUACAAGUGUCUUCCAUGACAGAUAGUCAUCAAUGAACCCAAAGGGAGCCUGCAAGAUUCAGAAACCCUCCUGUUACAGGAGAGAGCUAGGCCUGUUUGACAGUAAACCUCAAUAAAAGGUGUGCGCACAUGUGUAUUUGUUGUAACAUGUUGUCAGUGUCAUUCAGAAAAAAAACAAAGGUUACUUCAUCCAAA